UUUGAUUUAAAAUAAUGGUGACUUAUUCAUAACAAUCGUGGCAAAGAUUUAGAGUUAUCUAGACCAUCCAAAUAAUCGGUCUAGUUGCAAAUGGUAAAUAUUUAUAAUUUUGUUAUAUAAUAUAAGCUUAACCAUCCAGAAAAUGGUCCCAUGCAUGUACGACUGUUAAUAUAGCUUGUGUUAUAAAUAAUGGAGAACUCACAGAAUUCGGAUUUAAAUUCAUUAUCAUAUCCAAAAGAGGAUUUCCGAUGAGCGCCAUUUCAUCUUCCACCCAAAAUCAUUUUCGAAAGCCAUUUCCGUCGAGCGUCGUUGCCGAGCAUCAUCUUCCAUCGAGCGUCGUUGCCGAGCAUCAUCUUCAAAUAGGACUAGCGGGAAUGGCAGCCCUAGUGGCAAUGAAAGCCCUGGGGAAGCAGAUCAGAAGAGACCGAGACGUCCGUAUCAAUUGAAGACAUUUAAGAUUGAGAUUCGUUUUGCUGCUCGAAGCCCAAUGAAAGCCAUAGUGAAUGCUCUACGAGGUCAUGAUUCAGAGAGCUCUCAAGAAGCUUUAAGAGUGCUUGACAUCAUACCAAGGCAGCACACAGCAAAGCAGUAUGUAAUUUCAGUUUUUUAUUGUUGGCAUCACUCUUUUUUUUUUUUUUUUUCCUUUCAUAAAAUUGUUAACAUAGCUGGUAAUUCCAGAGGAUGCCUACUCGUACGGCAAUCGUAUUUCAACAAUGUGCCUCGCAACUUCACUGACAUAGGAGGUGGUGUUGUUGGCUGUCGAGGUUUCCAUUCUAGCUUCCGCACCACCCAAUGAGGCUUGUCUCUGAAUAUUGAUGUGUCUACAACAAUGAUUAUAAAGCCAAGACCUGUUGCAGAUUUUCUAGUGGCUAAUCAAAAUGUUUAUAUUUUUCUUUUUGGUAGCA